rnacentral:rRNA from 1 species
UACAGAGGUCUCAAGCGUUGUUCGGAUUCAUUGGGCGUAAAGGGUGCGUAGGCGGCGCCGUAAGUCAGGUGUGAAAUCUCGGGGCUCAACCCCGAAACUGCACUUGAUACUGCGGUGCUCGAGUACUGGAGAGGAGAUUGGAAUUUACGGUGUAGCAGUGAAAUGCGUAGAUAUCGUAAGGAAGACCAGUGGCGAAGGCGAAUCUCUGGACAGUUACUGACGCUGAGGCACGAAAGCGAGGGGAGCAAACGGG